AAAGGUUUGGUCCUGGCCUUGAGAUCAAUUUUUACUUAACUUACACAUGCAAGUAUCCGCCCCCCUGUGAGAACGCCCUUAAUACCCUACUGGGACAAGGAGCCGGUAUCAGGCGCACUAAUAUGCCCAAGACACCUAGCCAUGCCACAUCCACAAGGAACCUCAGCAGUGAUUAACUUUGAAUAUGAGCGCCAGCUCGACUCAGUUAAAGUAUAAAAAGCCGGCAAAUCUGGUGCCAGCCGCCGCGGUUACACCAAGAGGCUUAAAUUGAUUUCAAUCGGCGUAAAGCGUGAUUAAAGUUAAUUAAAACUAAAGUUAAACUAGAACUAAGCCGUAGUACGCUUGUACCUAAGAAUGUCUAAAACGAAAGUUACUUUAAAUUAAACCACUUGAACUCACGACAGUCAGAACACAAACUGGGAUUAGAUACCCCACUAUGUCUGACCGUAAACUUUAAAUUACACCUCAAUCGCCUGGGAACUACGAGCAAAGCUUAAAACCCAAAGGACUUGACGGUACCCCAUAUCCCCCUAGAGGAGCCUGUCCUAUAAUCGAUAAUCCCCGUUUAACCUCACCAUUUUUAGUUUAUCAGCCUGUAUACCUCCGUCGUCAGCUUACCACGUGAGCGAUAUUUAGUAAUCUUAAUGUUUUUACAUCAACACGUCAGGUCAAGGUGCAGCAAAUAAAAUGGAAAGAGAUGGGCUACACUUUCUACAAUAGAAUAUACGAAAGACUACACAUGAAAUUUAGUCAGAAGGCGGAUUUAGUAGUAAAAAGAAACUAGAGAGUUCUUUUUAACCUGGCACUGGGGUGUGUACACACCGCCCGUCACCCUCUUCAAAGCUAAAGAUUAGUAAUAUAACAAACCCAAGCAAAUCAGAAGAGGUAAGUCGUAACAUGGUAAGUAUACCGGAAGGUGUGCUUGGAAA
rnacentral:ncRNA from 1 species